UUUCUUCAUAAAUUACUAACCCUAACCCCUUUCAAUAUGUGAUCUGGGUUUUAAAGUGCGAGAGUUGUACUUGAGUUUGAUAGCAGAUAGCGAUCUGCAAAGUUCAAACCCAUUUCCAAUUUCUGUGAAUGCUCUAGAGUCUGUCUCUCUCUCUCUUAUUCUCCGAAGGAAAAAGACAAUGGAGUCCACCGUCCUCCUACAUGUUGUCAUCGGAGGCCCUACAAAGACGCUUAUCACCGCUGCCGCCCAAAUCACCUUUAGCAAUUACUUUCGUUUCCAUAUGAGGACUGCUACAUGGUUCUAAUGAAGCAUGUCAUUUGAAAGAGAUUGUUUUAACCAAGGAACCCGAACCCACCAAUGCACAGGAGCGUACAAGAGCCUGCUCGUAUUCAAAAGGAUGACGGUAAUGUGAAUUCAAAUGGACGACUCCAGGGGAGCCUUGAAGUUUCUAGGGCCUAUGGAGAUUGCUAGUUCAAAAAGGUUCUAUUUUCUCUUCUUUAACGCUUUCCCCUCUGGUUAUUUGUUUCCUUUGUUUU
rnacentral:sRNA from 1 species